UACGUAGGGGGCAAGCGUUGUCCGGAAUCAUUGGGCGUAAAGAGCGCGUAGGCGGCCCUGUAAGUCCGCUGUGAAAGUCAAGGGCUCAACCCUUGAAUGCCGGUGGAUACUGCAGGGCUAGAGUCCGGAAGAGGCGAGUGGAAUUCCUGGUGUAGCGGUGAAAUGCGUAGAUAUCAGGAGGAACACCGAUGGCGAAGGCAGGUCUCUGGGCUGACACUGACGCUCAUGCACGAAAGCGUGGGGAGCAAACAGG
rnacentral:rRNA from 1 species